GAUGAACGCUGGCGGUAUGCUUAACACAUGCAAGUCGAACGGACUCUUCGGAGUUAGUGGCGGAAGGGUGAGUAACGCGUGAGAAUCUGGCUUUGGGUUCGGGACAACCACUGGAAACGGUGGCUAAUACCGGAUGUGCCGAGAGGUAAAAGAGAAAUUGCCUGAAGAUGAGCUCGCGUCUGAUUAGCUAGUUGGUGAGGUAAAGGCUCACCAAGGCAGCGAUCAGUAGCUGGUCUGAGAGGAUGACCAGCCACACUGGGACUGAGACACGGCCCAGACGCCUACGGGAGGCAGCAGUGGGGAAUUUUCCGCAAUGGGCGAAAGCCUGACGGAGCAAUACCGCGUGAGGGAAGAAGGCUCUUGGGUUGUAAACCUCUUUUCUUAGGGAAGAACAAAAUGACGGUACCUAAGGAAUCAGCACCGGCUAACUCCGUG
rnacentral:rRNA from 1 species